rnacentral:rRNA from 1 species
UACGUAGGUGGCGAGCGUUGUCCGGAAUCACUGGGCGUAAAGGGCGCGUAGGCGGUUUAACAAGUCGCAUGUGAAAUACCAGGGCUCAACUCUGGGGGGUCAUGCGAAACUGUUGGACUUGAGUGUAGUAGAGGAAAGCGGAAUUCCUGGUGUAGCGGUAAAAUGCGUAGAGAUCAGGAGGAACACCGGUGGCGAAGGCGGCUUUCUGGGCUAUAACUGACGCUGAGGCGCGAAAGCGUGGGGAGCAAACAGG